rnacentral:rRNA from 1 species
UUGGAGGGCAAGUCUGGUGCCAGCAGCCGCGGUAAUUCCAGCUCCAAUAGCGUAUAUUAAAGUUGUUGCAGUUAAAAAGCUCGUAGUUGAAUUUCGAGACCGGUCUACUGGUCGUGCUUUUGUACGUACUGGUUUUAUUGGUUUCUCCUUUCUGACGAACCAUAAUGCCAUUAAUUUGGUGUUAUGGGGAAUCAGGACUGUUACUUUGAAAAAAUUAGAGUGUUUAAAGCAGGCUCACGCUUGAAUACAUUAGCAUGGAAUAAUGAAAUAGGACAUCAGAUUCUAUUUUGUUGGUUUCUAGGAUCGAUGUAAUGAUUAAUAGGGAUAGUUGGGGGCAUUAGUAUUCAAUUGUCAGAGGUGAAAUUCUUGGAUUUAUUGAAGACUAACUACUGCGAAAGCAUUUGCCAAGGAUGUUUUCAUUAAUCAAGAACGAAAGUUAGGGGAUCGAAGACGAUCAGAUACCGUCGUAGUCUUAACCAUAAACUAUGCCGACUAGGGAUCGGAUGAUGUUAAUUUUUUAAUGACUCAUUCGGCGCCUUACGGGAAAC